CCUUCUCGGGCCGUGGCUCUUGAUUGUCCAAACGCAAUUCUCGUGGCUCCGGCCCUCGAGAGUUGGGUCUGGACAUCCCGAGCCGCGGCCCCCACGCCUCGCGGAGG
rnacentral:miRNA from 1 species